CUCAUUAGGCCGGAUGGGGACAGGAGCCGGCUGGAGGCUUCCCCGGCACCUGUGCUCCCCGAGGCAGCGGCUGAACCCUUCCCCACUCAGGGGCGGCCACAGGGGUGCCUUCCUGGGGAUCCGGCUGCCCGGGACGGGUGGGAGUGUCCCGGUAGGGAGGACAGUCACCAUGCACUAAGCACCGUGAAGGCUGCCACUCCGGAGAGGCACCUGGAGCUGCCCGCCCUGGGCCGGUCACCAGCAGACCCUGCCGCACGGACGCUUUGUGCGCCUUCGGGCAGGUCCCAGGAGAAGAAUCCCACAGAGAUCAUCUCUCGCCCUUGGGAGGAACACCUCGCCCUCUGCUGACAGCCGUCCUCCCCUUGAAAAGCAGGGUUCUUGGGACACGUCUGAAGGAGGAAUGCACAUCUCCAGAGGACGCAAGUCCAAGAGAGGCUUCUUUCAGGCCCUUCACUCAGGCCGAGAGACUGGGGAGCCCCUAGGAAACAUGCAAUUGGAUUCAUCUUCUACACCUGCACCAAUGAACAGUCCAGAAAGAUGGAAAACUCUGAUGUAAAAUCAAAAU